UGCUGAACGACUUCAUGUCGCGCGGCGAAAAGAUCUUCGUCGGCACGGUCAAGCGCCUGGACAAGGGCGACAUCAUUGUCGAGAGC
rnacentral:tRNA from 1 species